rnacentral:lncRNA from 1 species
ACCGAACAUAUAUAUUAACUCUAAGCAUUCCUAAAUGAAUGAAACUUCUCAAUUCAGCAUAAGCUCAAAUGUGCUUGACUAGAGAAAGGAUUGCCAUACAACAAAAUGUUCAGAUUCAUAAUUACAUCCCUUAUUCCAUUCCUAAAGAAGUUCAUCUCAGCAGAAAGCCUUUGCAUUCUUGCGACCCGGGAUUCUGCACAUACAUGAAAAUAUGCUGUCAAAGUGAAAAAUAUGAUUUGCAGAUUCUUAGGUAUUAAGAAAGUAGCCUAAAUGAAUUUGUGCAAUGAUGGCCUGCUACAGAAUCUUCAUUGGAAAAUUUGUUAGAAAAUACUAAAUAUUAAUACAGAAUGAUGGUGAAGGUUUGGAAACAGAAAAUAACUAAAUAUCAUAUUUGACAUAGUUGAUGAGUUGAGAUCUGUUAAGCUAUCAAUAAUUUGCACUUGGGAUUCAUGGAAGUAAAAAUUUGAUUCUGUGUUACCUUCUUUGUGAGAGCACUUUUAGCCAUCCUUAAUAUGAAAGAAAUGUUACUUUUAGUAACUUUCUAUUUCCCAACAGGUUUGGAUAAUUUACUUUUAAUUAAAAAAAAGUUAUUUUAAAACUAAUUCUUACCUUGUCAAAGUAAGUAACAUAUUUCUAACUUUGACGAGUGAACAUCUCUUUUUUCGUGUUCUCUCUACACUCAUAUCCACAAACUCAUUGAUCUCACCUAAAAGAGGGGCAAAAAUGUAAUGGUUAGUAGUAGAAAGAUAAUGUAGCAUUUCAAAGAAACUCUCAAAAGAAUCACCAAUUUUGUAUUCCAUAACAUGCAUGAUUUGAAUUCUAACAUUUAAUCUUCUAUGACACCCCCCCCCCCCCACACCCACUCUUCUAGCUACCGUCACAGUCAUUAAAUUUGUAGCCAACUUCCUUUCAAAGUGUAAAAAUUGUUACAUCAGAAUUUGAAAGAUUUACAAUGACAACAAUAGAAAAGAAAUUAUAGACAAAAACCUGAAAACUAGAAGUUGAAAUCUGGGAAAUGAGGCAUACAUGACAACAUCCACAAAGAAAUAAACUUAAUGGACUGGGAAAUGUGGCAUAUAUGACAACAUAAUUGGAGUCCUACCUUUAAGUUGUUGACACCUCACUAAAAUUUUUAGUUGUCAUAAUUUUAAUCCUAACAUGUAAAAAUAAUAUUAUUUGUAUUUAGUGAGGUGUCAAAAUUUUAGUGGUGGAACAGUCAAUGAAACAGUUGAGUCAGGAUAGCAGAGGGGUACAAUGCAUCCACCAUUAAUUACAUUUGUAUCAAUAUUUAUCAUGCUACAUUGAAGUUACGUCCAAAUUAAAACAUCCAAAACAUUCCUAUUUUAUAGGACAGGGAAAUGGAAUAGAAAGGCAUCUUGAAACUUCAAGAUUUUCAACAAAACCAAUUUUGUUUUGAAUGCUUCUUAAUAAAAUGAAAAUCAAUAUCAACAAUAUUUAUCAUCAAUAUCUUUAGACAGAGCCGGCCCUACACCAAAGCCACUAAGGGAAGGCAAUGGCCUGGGGCCUCCAAUGUUAGGGUGCCACUAGAAAAAUGUAUCAUUUAUAACAUUAUUUGCUUAUCUAAUUAUGUUUUACAUGUAAAUCAUAGCCCACGCCCUACAAGUUACUCAUCCGGCCUCAAAUUCAAUCUUGAAGAAACCGUUCAUCGACCAAUUAUAAAGUCAUGGGCACUUUCAAUGUUGUGGAAUUUGUGUAUUUGUUUAUUUUCAGUAAGUAGACUAUGUUUUGUAAGUUUAUGUUGGAUGAAUUUUGUGAAUAGUGACGCUGAAAUAAGUAUAAUGAUGGUGACAAAGCCGAGGCAAGAGUUGGACUCUUUGUCCUUAAGUCGAAUUUGCCCCGCAACGGUGCCUACGGAUUUCGGCAAUCGACUCCCAAGAUACAACGGCUACACUUGUGUUUGUAGCACUCCAAAACACAAGUACAACGAACCAAUUUAGGCUUAUGUACUCCAAGAAUGAAAUGAAAGAAAAUCAAAAUAAACGAAAUGAUUUUGAUUUUGGAUAGAAGAGAGGAUGAGAAACGUUUUGCAUAUCAAACUGUGAGGAAUAGGACACCCAAAGGGUCCUAUUUAUAGACCAUGAAGGGGUGUGGACGAAAUGGUUGAGACCAAACCAUGCACCAUUUCCAAACAAUGCAUAUUUAUGAAAAGGUGUCUAUUCACUAAUGGUUGAGGUCUUUUUCGUAAUUUCUCAUUCAUCC